AUUAUUUUUUCUGUGAUGGCUGUUAUCAUUGGAAUUAUCCUAAUAAGUGCUAAGCUUAUUGGCCUGCUGAUAAAGAGAAAUCCAACUCUUGGAACAAGCGAUCCUUUAACUUCUGUAAAAAUAGGAGAAACAGUAUAGUAAUCGAUGAGAAUCUGUUCACCAAGCCAAGUUUUGGAAGAACUCAAAGACAAGACUUCAGUCAAG